ACACUACUGAAGAAUCCAGUACUAGGACGAAACGGCCGUUCAGUGU
rnacentral:hammerhead_ribozyme from 1 species